rnacentral:rRNA from 1 species
UAGGGAAUCUUGCGCAAUGGGCGAAAGCCUGACGCAGCCAUGCCGCGUGAAUGAUGAAGGUCUUAGGAUUGUAAAAUUCUUUCACCGGGGAAGAUAAUGACGGUACCCGGAGAAGAAGCCCCGGCUAACUUCGUGCCAGCAGCCGCGGUAAUACGAAGGGGGCUAGCGUUGCUCGGAAUUACUGGGCGUAAAGGGCGCGUAGGCGGAUAUUUAAGUUGGGGGUGAAAGCCCGGGGCUCAACCUCGGAAUAGCCUUCAAUACUGGAUAUCUUGAGUUCGGGAGAGGUGAGUGGAAUGCCGAGUGUAGAGGUGAAAUUCGUAGAUAUUCGGCGGAACACCAGUGGCGAAGGCGACUCACUGGCCCGAUACUGACGCUGAGGCGCGAAAGCGUGGGGAGCAAACAGGAUUAGAUACCCUGGUAGUCCACGCCGUAAACGAUGAGUGCUAGUUGUCGGCAUGCAUGCAUGUCGGUGACGCAGCUAACGCAUUAAGCACUCCGCCUGGGGAGUACGGUCGCAAGAUUAAAACUCAAAUGAAUUGACGGGGUCAUAGCUGUUUCCU